rnacentral:rRNA from 1 species
UACGUAGGGGGCAAGCGUUGUCCGGAAUCAUUGGGCGUAAAGCGCGCGUAGGCGGCCCGGUAAGUCCGUUGUGAAAGUCAAAGGCUCAACCUUUGAAUGCCGAUGGAUACUGCCGGGCUAGAGUCCGGAAGAGGCGAGUGGAAUUCCCAGUGUAGAGGUGAAAUUCGUAGAUAUUGGGAAGAGCACCGGUGGCGAAGGCGGCUCUCUGGACCGAUACUGACGCUGAGGAGCGAAAGCCAGGGGAGCAAACGGG